rnacentral:misc_RNA from 1 species
GCUUAUGAACUAUGAUAUUAUUUGAGUAAUCUAAACACAUAGAUGAAGAGGAAAACACUUAAAUUUUGCCUUACGCUGAAGCAAAUAAAUACAAGACGAUCUAACUUCUAGAUUCAAUAGGGAAUGAUCAAACUAGCACUGGAAUAGGAAAAUAGUGGCAUUUCAAGAUUGAAGAGAUGUAAGGUAAUCAACGCUUAUCUUUUCACCUGUUUCAAUUGUGACAAACAGUAACACAUAACGAAGUAGCACAUAACGAAGAGAUUGAUGCUUGAAAACAAGCAAGGACGAGUCAACAAUAUUCCAGCAAAUAGAUUACUACAUACCCAGAUUCAUA